UCUCGCUCCCACAUCCCACCGUCGGUGGAGGAAGAGAUAAACCUACCGUGACUUCGAACGAUUGAGCUCAACAUUCUCCCUUCCUUCGAACUCUUUAGAAUCGAAGAUCUCCGGCGUCCUACGCCCGAUGGCGACGGUACGCGAAAUAUCUGAGCUCGUCUCUCCGACCUCUUCUUGAUCCAACCGUUGCUUCUUCUCUCAUAUUGUUCUUCUGUUUUUUUCUUCACCUUCCCCUUUUUCCUGGAUUCCUGAUUUUCUCGAAAUUUGAAUUUAUUGUUCUCCUUCACACUGUUGACCCCAAUAUCUUUAUUUUAUUUUAUUUUAUUUUUUCUCUUGGUAAUCCAACCUCUUUGUCUUUCUCCGAUUUCGAUUACGGUUGUGAAACAAUUAUCUUUUCUAAACCCCUUUUGGUACGACAUAUUGUUGGUCUGAGGAACAUGAUAGAUAUGCUUCAUUAGCCCUGAUAUUUUGCAUUGUCUUUGGCGUCAGACCUUCUUGAAUUAAAGAAGUUGCAUUUCUUUGAUUAUGGGAAGCGUUUCUUGAAAUCUUAGCUUUGCCUGCGUUAAGGGAAGAAGGGGCAUCUCAACAGCCAGACCUUUUUGAAUUAAAGAAGUUGCAUUUCUUUGAUUAUGGAAAGCGUCUCUUGAAAUCUUAGCUUUGCCCGCGUUAAGGGAAGAAGGAGCAUGUGAACAGCCAGGAAGAGAUCCUGUUCUCAGAGACAGCGAUGCUCAGAAGCAAUGCAGUUGCGAAGAAAAUCUUUGCCACAUGAAAAUGCACUGCACCACACGGUUAUUCUUUACCAGCAAGGAGAUAUGCCCAAAAUUUAUCAGGGGUAAUGCUUAGUGUUGUUUGUUGCUUGGCCACCGGAAUCCUAUGUUCCAGUUGGAACAUACGCGUGUAAUGGAAUCUAAAACAUGGGUGGAGCAUACUUUGGGCAGGAAAUUUGCUGGGUUUGUAAUUACUUUAAGGUGCCAACCAACCGUCAGUGUGCUCUCAUGCAUAUAUUCAAACUUACAAAAGACUGGGUUUGCCCAGACGAGUUCUUUGUUGCUUUCGGUAGAAGGAAUUUUGACAAAAUAGAAACACAUAAACAAUAAGUGCUUAUUAAGAAAUCACAAUUAUUAUCUUUCCCAAUUCCUGAUCUAAUCAUUUUGAUUGACUGCAGCCUCACUUGCGAACAUAUUUGGGAUCAUCCAAUUUUUGUAAUAAAUUGUGAUCAUGUAGUUAGUACAGGUGGCGAUCAUCAUACGUGAUAAAUUGCACUUUUUCCAUGUGGGCAUAGUUGCAUGGGAUCCUGAGAUGUGGUUUUGAGACACGUUGAACAUGCUAGGAGGCCGAUACUGCCUCGACAGAGAGCAAGGCCAUAGACCCUGUCCAGGAUUUCACCUAGGUUUUGUUGAAGGAUUAGGAGGAGAGCAAAGGAUCGAGGUUAACUUGGAAGUUCUGUUGGUGGUCUAGCAGUUUAUGCCUUAGCAUCUGCAAUAGAAAAGUUC